AUACGGGGGGUGCAAGCGUUGUCCGGAUUUAUUGGGCGUAAAGGGCUCGUAGGCGGGACUGUAAGUCUGGCGUGAAAUCUCAUGGCUCAACCAUGAAACUGCGCUGGAAACUACAGUUCUUGAAUUGCGAAGAGGAAGACGGAAUUCCUGGUGUAGCGGUGGAAUGCGUAGAUAUCAGGAAGAACACCCAUGGCGAAGGCAGUCUUCUGGUCGCUGAUUGACGCUGAGGAGCGAAAGUGUGGGGAGCGAACAGGAUUAGAUACCCCAGUAGUCC
rnacentral:rRNA from 1 species